rnacentral:misc_RNA from 1 species
GAAAUGCGAUAAGUAAUGUGAAUUGCAGAAUUCAGUGAAUCAUCGAAUCUUUGAACGCACCUUGCGCCUUUUGGUAUUCCGAAAGGCAUGCCUGUUUGAGUGUCAUGAAAUCUCAAUCCCCUCGGGUUUAUGAUCUGGGUGGGACUUGGACAUGGGCGUCUGCCGUUUACACGGCUCGCCUCAAAUGACUUAGUGGAUCUCUCUGCAUCCGUGACAGACGUAAUAAGUUUCGUCUUGUCCCUUGCUUAUGAGUCCGCUUAUAACCAGCCAUCGCGCACUUUAGACUCUGACCUCAAAUCAGGUAGGACUACCCGCUGAACUUAA